UUGGUGUUCCUUUUUUUGGAGAGACCUACCAAUACAGCAUCCUAGAACGUCGCCAGGAGUCGAGGUUCAACCGGGUGUCGACUACACAUCACCGUGGGGAAUUUAAAGACUUGCCCUUGGUUCCUCCAAGAAUGGGAUUUAGGGCUGUUUGGGGCGUCCUGAACCUGCUUUAUCGUCAACUCUACAGGCCCGGGGAAUGGGGAGUUCUGGGGGAUGCCCAGCGAGAAUGGAGUUUACGAUGGAAAAUCGACCUGCAGCCCUACUGGUUCAAAUGCUAAGGACCGCUAUCUUUCUUUAUCUAUUGUUCAUACAAUUAAAUUUUAUUUACUUAUUGAUUUAUAUAUAAA